UUGCAGGGGCUGUUUCUCUUUAAGGGUUAGGUCUUAGUCUCUCCAUCUUUGUGAGUGAUACUUGUUAGGGUUCCUUGCUGGGGUUCCUUGUUAGGGUUAAGAUAUCAGAGGGCUAGGAGUUCUUAGGGUUCCCUAAAGGCACUGUUUGCUGAUUAGUGGGGGUGGAGUCAGCUAGGGCUGGGCGGGGCCCCACAUUCCUUUCCUUUGGCUCUCAUCCUGUGUGACAGUUGGAAGGCUACUCUACAUAUGAGGUGAAGGCCCGAGAGCAUAGCGAACAGGGAUAGCAAACAGGACGUAGGAGUUUUGCAGGAGUUUGGUGGGAAGUGUGUGGGGGAGCCUGGAACGAGCCCCUGAAAUCGCAAUCGCAAUCGCGAUCACAAGGAGCCUGGUGGAGAAGAGAACAAAUAUUUCUGGUCAUUCCCACUGACUGAGGCUGCCAUCCUUCCCACACUCACCUGGCAGUAAGUCCUGUUGAACUCAAGAGAGUGUAUUAAGGAGCAAAGCCACCUCGGCUUCAGCUGUAAGGAGGGAAUCCCCUGGUGAAGGACAGCAAGACAGCUGCCUUCCUCUGUGUGUGGGCUGAAGAUGGGGAGGACAACCAGGGAGAAGUCUUGGAAGUGGUCCCCCAGCACCAGCCUUUUCUGGACUUGGAGGAAAGAGCUCCAUUCAACCCAGGAUUUGCGAGGUCAUGGAAGAAGA